rnacentral:rRNA from 1 species
CCUACGGGAGGCAGCAGGGGGGAAUAUUGCACAAUGGGGGGAACCCUGAUGCAGCGACGCCGCGUGGGUGAGGAAGGACUUCGGUAUGGAAAGCCCUAGCAGCAGGGAAGAAAAUGACGGUAACUGACUAAGAAGCCCCGGCUAACUACGUGCCAGCAGCCGCGGUAAUACGUAGGGGGCAAGCGUUAUCCGGAUUGACUGGGUGUAAAGGGAGCGUAGACGGCGUGCCAAGUCUGGUGUGAAAGGCCGGGGCUCAACCCCGGGACUGCAUUGGAAACUGGCAUGCUGGAGUGCCGGAGGGGCCAGCGGCAUUCCUCGUGUAGCGGUGACAUGCGUAGAUAUUAGGCGGAACACCGGUGGCGCUGGCGGCUUGCUGGACGGUAACUGCCGUUGCGGCUCGAAAGCGUGGGGAGCAAACAGGAUUAGAUACCCCUGUAGUC